rnacentral:rRNA from 1 species
CUGUGAUUUUAAAUUUAACGGCCGCGGUAUUUUGACCGUGCAAAGGUAGCGCAAUCACUUGUCUUUUAAAUAAAGACCCGUAUGAAUGGCAUAACGAGGGCUUAACUGUCUCCCUUUUCCGGUCAAUGAAAUUGAUCCCCCCGUGCAGAAGCGGGGAUAAAAACAUAAGACGAGAAGACCCUGUGGAGCUUUAAACGCCAAAACAGGCCCUGUUAAGUAACCUUUUCUUAAAAGCUAAAACCAAUCGGACUCUGUUUUGCUGUUUUUGGUUGGGGCGACCGCGGGGUAAUGACUAACCCCCACGUAGAAUGAGAGUAUUCCCUCUUUAAACAAAGACCCACACUUCUAAAUUACAGAACUUCUGACUAACCAUGAUCCGGUAAAACCGAUCAGCGAACCGAGUUACCCCAGGGAUAACAGCGCAAUCCUCUUUAAGAGCCCAUAUCGACAAGAGGGUUUACGACCUCGAUGUUGGAUCAGGACCUCCUAAUGGUGCAGCCGCUAUAAAGGGUUCGUUUGUUCAACGAUUAAAGU